AUUGCAGCCAAGGUAGUUGGUAUUAUAACAUCUUUGGUCGGAGCGAAUAUUUCCGUUGUAAUGGUUCGUUCCGACCAAAGAUGUUAUAAUACCAACUACCUUGGCUGCAAU
rnacentral:miRNA from 1 species